AUAAAAUAACCAAUUAAAAUGAGAAACAUAUUUACUACAUAUAAGUCUUCUUCAAAUAUUGGCAUAAUAAUGUGAUAGUACUAAAAAUUGGGACCAAACUAUUUUUCUUUUUUCUUUUUCUUUUUUUCAGAGUUGGGGACCGAACCCAGGGCCUUGCGCUUGCUAGGCAAGUGCUCUACCACUGAGCUAAAUCUCCAACCCCUAUUUUUCUUAAUAUAGUUCUUUAUACUUCUAAAAAGAUUUUACUCCUUGAGGAGGUAUAAAUCAUAAAAUUCUCAUUUGUUUAUUUUUACUUUUCUGCAUGCCAAACGUACUUACCAGACCCUGGCCAUCUUCUUGGAUUCCACUAGCAUUCGAACUGUAAAACAUUUUUUUUCUUUUUAUAAAUUACUGGGUAUUGAUUCUUCCACACAGCAUCAAAAAAUGAACUAAGUCAAAAAAGAAGGAACCUAAUGCAUUGGUAUUUCUCCAUAAGUAUGCCAGUACUUGGCAUCAUUAACAUUUCUUACUUGUCUACAUGACCUUCCUUAUACACUAUACUAUAAGUAUGUGUAAUGUAGAAAUAUUAAAAGGUUUUGUCAUUCACUUUCUUUAGGUUAUGCAUCAUCUCCAAGUCAUUUUUACAGUGAAAGUGCUACCUUCUUCUCUUUUCUUUUUUUUUUUUUUCUUCUUUUUUUUUUUCCGGAGCUGGGGACCGAACCCAGGGCCUUGCGCUUCCUAGGCAACCGCUCUACCGCUGAGCUAAAUCCCCAACCCCAAAGUGCUACCUUCUUAACACAGAGGAUGAUUCCUUUCCUUAGAACCUGUUGGCCUGGCAUUCACAUAUUUUCAUGACAUAAAUGUAUCUCAGGGAUGUAGAGGUUUAUAAUCAAGAUCUCCAAAUUAUAAAUUAGUCUGUGUUUCAAGUUGACCUAUAUUUAGGUUCAAGCACUAGUAUCUGAAACUUAAAAUUAGACAAGGAGAGAGUGAAAAUCAGAAAAAUGAAAUAUGUUACCUUAUAUAACAUUAUUGACAGUUGCUCAAAUGUCUUACUAAGACAUUAAAAUAUGGAGUGUUUUAAUCAAGAAAUCACCUUUGAAGAGUACAGCAUAUGUAGCAGUGUGAUUCCAUUGCCUACAACCCUUUACUAUGGGAACUAAGAUAAGAACUACAUGGAGAAAUCAGGAGUAGGCAGAAGUAAAAUUGACUUCAGAAAAUUAAUGGACACAUGCUUUCAUCAUAAUUUUUAAAACAUAUUAGAGAAAUUUUGAGUUGGAGAAAUAAAUCAUUAGGCAUGAAUUACAUGGUAAUGUAUAUCAUUCAUUUCUCUGUGAAUGAAUCAAAGAUUUUUCAACAAUAAACUAGAUUGACACUGAGACGGAUGUAGUCUACAAAGAACUAUUAAUUGCAAGAAUGAAGGAGACAGAAUACCUAUCGACAGGAAAGUAAAUUGGUGGAGUUCUUUCUUGCAUGUCAUUUUGUUUUGUAUUUUGUCCUUAUUUAUAUCCAGUUUGUUUUGAUUUUUAGAUAUUUUUGAGAGGAAAAGGGGAAGAGAAUAAGAAAAAGACAAAAGGAAAUGGGAGAAACAAAAGACACAGAGACAGAAAGACAGACAGACACACACACAGAGGGAAAGAGAGAGAGAGAGAGAGAGAGAGAGAGAGAGAGAGAGAGAGAGAGGGAGAACAAGCAUCAAAGUGCAAGAACAUCAAAUUUUAAGUGGACAGCAUUAAUCAUGGAUUUCCGAAGAGUAAAGAGAGAUGAUAAAAAUAUAAAAAAUACUUUAAAACUAAAACACAUGAAAAUAUACAGUGUCCAAAUGCUAAAACAUUUCUCAGUAUAAUAUGCCACAUAACUAAAUUAAGAUAUGAUAAUUUGUGAUGGGAAGUUGCAUGAAGGCUUGGGAUAACAUUCUCUAUUGAAACCUUAAAAACUGAAUAAUGGUAGCCCAAAGUAUAUAGUGGAAUUUCUCUGAAACAAAGCAGGGCAUCUAAGACACUGUACUCAGUUACAGGUUCUGAGUUUGAGAUGCCUAUUUGACUUUCAAAGCUGUUGUGAACGAGUGUACAGAGAUGAGUAAUCAACUCCACACAUAUAUUUGAGUCAUGUGGUGAAUGAACACAAUAAGAGGUCUUAUUAUAUUCUGUGUAUAGGGUAUUCAUUUAAAUCAGCACAGAGAAUAUAUUAAACAGUGUUUUGCCCCAUGAAAGCCCUCAGACUUUAUUGCAGGGAGACUGAUUUCUAAAAGGGACAUCACUUAUGUCAAAAAUAUUAGAAACCACAGCUAGAGAGAUGUUUUUGUAGAUAAGAACAUAUGUUCUUUUUAUUUCUAUUAAUUUGUUUAUUAACUAUUACACUCUAAUCACAGCCCUUCUCUCCCUUCCCAGUCCUAUCCUUACAAACCCUUCCCACCACUACCCUUUCCCCUUCUCCUCAGAGAAGCUAAACCCCUUGGGUACUGCCCUGCUUUGGAAAACCCAGCCGCAGAAGGAGUGAGUAUGCCCUUACCUACUGAGGCACAACCAGGCAACCCAGGCAACACUGUGAUUGAAGAAACAAGAUACAAUUUGAGAGGCAAUAUUCUAAAGUCUAAUAUCAUAGAUAUUUUGAUUUAAAAAUAUAAUGGUAACACUGAAUAAAAUUUAUCGAUGGGAAAA